GACGAACGCUGGCGGCGUGCCUAACACAUGCAAGUCGAACGGGGUAAGAGAAGCUUGCUUCUCUUGCUUAGUGGCGAACGGGUGAGUAACGCGUGAGGAACCUGCCUUUCAGUGGGGGACAACAGUUGGAAACGACUGCUAAUACCGCAUAAUGUAUUCGGACCGCAUGAUCUGAAUACCAAAGCUUUAUGUGCUGAAAGAUGGCCUCGCGUCUGAUUAGCUAGUUGGUGGGGUAACGGCCCACCAAGGCGACGAUCAGUAGCCGGUCUGAGAGGAUGAACGGCCACAUUGGGACUGAGAUACGGCCCAGACUCCUACGGGAGGCAGCAGUGGGGAAUAUUGGGCAAUGGGGGAAACCCUGACCCAGCAACGCCGCGUGAAGGAAGAAGGGCCCUUCGGGUUGUAAACGUUACUUUACCUACGGGACGAAGAACGUGACGGUACCUGGAGAAAAAGACAAACGGA
rnacentral:rRNA from 1 species